rnacentral:rRNA from 1 species
GGGAAACUGGGGCUAAUCCCAGAUCGAUGAGAACCCCUGGAAUGGGUCCUCGUCCAAAAGGCACUGCGGUUAUGCUCUGCAGCGUCGCUCAAGGAUGGGGCCGCGUCCGAUCAGGCUGUUGGUGAGGCAAUGGCUCACCAAACCUAUAGCCGGUACGGGCCGUGGGAGCGGGAGCCCGGAGAUGGGAACUGAGACAAGGUCCCAGGCCCUACGGGGCGCAGCAGUUACGAAAACUUGUCAAUGCACGAAAGUGUGAACGGGCUACCCCGAGUGCCGUCCGCUGAGGAUGGCUUUUCUCUGCUGUAAGAAGGCGGAGGAAUAAGGCGAGGGCAAGUCUGGUGUCAGCCGCCGCGGUAAUACCAGCUCGCCGAGUGGUAGGGAGGAUUAUUGGGCUUAAAGCGUCCGUAGCCGGCCUAUCAAGUCUCUUGUUAAAUCCAACGAUUCAAUCGCUGGACUGCAGGAGAUACUGCUAGGCUAGGGGGCGGGAGAAGCCGACGGUAUUCUCGGGGUAGGGGUAAAAUCCUAUAAUCCCGGGAAGACCACCAGUGGCGUAGGCGGUCGGCUAGCACGCGCUCGACGGUGAGGGACGAAAGCUGGGGGAGCGAACCGGAUUAGAUACCCGGGUAGUCCCAGCUGUAAACGAUGCUGGCUAGGUGUUGAAGCGGCCACGAGCCGCUUCAGUGCCGCAGGGAAAGCCAUUAAGCCAGCCGCCUGGGGAGUACGGGCCGCAAGGCUGAAACUUA